AGUUUCAUGUGAACCAUGUCUUUUGUCAAAACGACUUUUAAACUGUUCGCGCUCGUCACGUUCACCGUCCUGCUCGUGCUGCUGCUGCGGCACUGGAUGGCCACCAAGCAGUACGUUUUCAACAAAGAAGACGUCGCCAAGUUGGCUAAGCAGUACGCGGGACAGGACCAUGAGCAGGCGUUCUCCAAAGUGGUGGUGGAGCUCAGGAAGAGGUAUCCCGGUCACAUUCUGCCAGAUGAGGACUUGCAGUGGGUCUUUAUAAAUGCCGGAGGCUGGAUGGGCACCAUGUGUCUGCUGCAUGCCUCUCUCACAGAGUAUGUGCUGCUGUUUGGCACUGCGGUGGACACAGGAGGACACUCGGGUCGUUAUUGGGCGGAAAUUUCCGACACCAUCAUCUCUGGCACUUUCCGGCAGUGGAAGGAGGGCACUACCAAGAGUGAAGUAUACUAUCCAGGUGACACUCUUGUUCAUGGAGUGGGAGAAGCCACGUCCGUCCAGUGGAGCGCUGGGACCUGGAUGGUGGAGUACGGCAGAGGCUUCAUCCCGUCCACGCUUGGCUUUGCUCUAGCKGACACCCUGUUCAGCACCCAUGACUUUGUCACGUUGUUUUACACCGUACGGGUGUACAYGAAAGCUCUGCUGCUCGAGGCCGGUACGCUACUCACAGACGCCGGAGUUUUCUGAGGGACAGCAGAGGACCGGCUGCUGGCACACGGACUGCGAUAUCCAUAUCCCCUUAACUAAAAGCUGGCAUGAGGCCGGUGUGAGGGGUUCAACCUGUAAUUUAUGACAAUCAGAUUUGCUAAUAGUUUCAUUCUCAUUCGUGUUUGUUUUCUACCAUAAAGUAGAAAGAAACUUGUCCUGACAUCAGAGGAACUCCACAUAUUCAUCAACAUUUAAUUUAGACUCAAACACCAAUCCAUCACCCCUUUGUCCAUUCUUAUAAGAGCUCAGACUGCCUCUUUAAUCACCCAAGUCUUAACUAUGGGAAAAAAAGAUCCAUAUGAUUUUGGAUCAAGCUUAAAAAAUAAGGCCUUUUGCCAAAUUUGAGAUGACAAAAUAACGGUAUACUGUGUUCACCUAGGAACUAAAGAGUUAACAUCUUUUCAGCAACAUUUGCAAACAACCUUAAUUGCUGAAAUUAAAAAAAUGUCAGUUUUAUCACAUAUGAAACAAACCUCUAGGAUGCACAAACACAAUUUUUAUUUUUAUUUUUUUGUGUGUAAUGCGUCUUGGGAAAAAAAUGGUACAUUUUCAUUAUUACUAUUAGUAACUUUAAAGCUGCUCAUUUCAUCUAUGGAAGCCGAAGUGAUUGGAAAUAGGUGAGCAAUGUCCACUUUGUGGGUAAAGUCUGUCGAGCCUUUUAAUUAAAUCAUGAUUCUCCACUGCAGUUUUUUUUUUUUUCAGCCUUUGACAUUUUCAGCGCACAUCACUUGCUGAGAUUAGCCUUACCUAUUUUCAGAUAAGCUUGUGAAUUAUGUGCAAAACAGAUACAAGUGAAAGUAAUUCUAAGAAACUUGGAACAAAAAUUGCCUCGCUUUGUGCAACUUAAGCUUACAUUUUUUUUCUCCUCUGAAGUCCACCUAGGAAUUACAAAAAAAAACACUACUUGUUCACACCUUCAUGUUUUACAGUGAAGAAAUAAUUCAACUUUUAGAGAACCACAGAACAUACUAUACAAUGUAAUCCAUUAGUUUACAUACAGCAGUGUGUAAACGAAUUGCUGUACUUUAUGUGCAAUUUACUGCAUAAAUGAUGACACUGACAGUGCCAGAAUAAAUAAAUGUUUUUGAAAUAAAA